rnacentral:rRNA from 1 species
AGUGAACGCUGGCGGUAGGCCUAACACAUGCAAGUCGAACGGCAGCACAGUAAGAGCUUGCUCUUACGGGUGGCGAGUGGCGGACGGGUGAGGAAUACAUCGGAAUCUACUUUUUCGUGGGGGAUAACGUAGGGAAACUUACGCUAAUACCGCAUACGACCUACGGGUGAAAGCAGGGGAUCUUCAGACCUUGCGCGAUUGAAUGAGCCGAUGUCGGAUUAGCUAGUUGGCGGGGUAAAGGCCCACCAAGGCGACGAUCCGUAGCUGGUCUGAGAGGAUGAUCAGCCACACUGGAACUGAGACACGGUCCAGACUCCUACGGGAGGCAGCAGUGGGGAAUAUUGGACAAUGGGCGCAAGCCUGAUCCAGCCAUACCGCGUGGGUGAAGAAGGCCUUCGGGUUGUAAAGCCCUUUUGUUGGGAAAGAAAAGCAGCAGGUUAAUACCCCGCUGUUCUGACGGUACCCAAAGAAUAAGCACCGGCUAACUUCGCG